rnacentral:rRNA from 1 species
CAACCCUUAAGCUUAGUUGCCAUCAUUAAGUUGGGCACUCUAAGUUGACUGCCGGUGACAAACCGGAGGAAGGUGGGGAUGACGUCAAAUCAUCAUGCCCCUUAUGAUUUGGGCUACACACGUGCUACAAUGGACAAUACAAAGGGCAGCGAAACCGCGAGGUCAAGCAAAUCCCAUAAAGUUGUUCUCAGUUCGGAUUGUAGUCUGCAACUCGACUACAUGAAGCUGGAAUCGCUAGUAAUCGUAGAUCAGCAUGCUACGGUGAAUACGUUCCCGGGUCUUGUACACACCGCCCGUCACACCACGAGAGUUUGUAACACCCGAAGCCGGUGGAGUAACCUUUUAGGAGCUAGCCGUCGAAGGUGGGACAAAUGAUUGGGGUGAAGUCGUAACAAGGUAGCCGUAUCGGAAGGUGCGGCUGGAUCACCUCCUUUCUAAGGA